GGGCUCGUAGCUCAGCUGGCAGAGUGCUCCCUUGACAUGGGAGAGGUCUCCGGUUCAACCCCGGACGAGCCCA
rnacentral:tRNA from 1 species